rnacentral:rRNA from 1 species
GACGAACGCUGGCGGCGUGCUUAACACAUGCAAGUCGAACGAUGAAGCUAGAGCUUGCUCUGGUGAAUUAGUGGCGAACGGGUGAGUAACACGUGAGUAACCUGCCCCGAACUCUGGGAUAACUGCUGGAAACGUUAGCUAAUACUGGAUACGACCUACGAAGGCAUCUUCCUUAGGUGGAAAGACUUUCGGGUCGGGAUGGACUCGCGGCCUACCAGCUUGUUGGUGAGGAAAUGGCUCACCAAGGCGACGACGGGUAGCCGGCCUGAGAGAGUGGACGGCCACCCUGGGACUGAGACACGGCCCAGACUCCUACGGGAGGCAGCAGUGGGGAAUAUUGCACAAUGUGCGCAAGCCUGAUGCGGCAACGACGCGUGAGGGAUGCCGGCCUUCGGGUUGUAAAUCUCUUUUAAUAGUGAAGAAGCGAAAGUGACGGUACCUGCAGAAAAAGCACCGGCUAACUACGUGCCAGCCGCCGCCGCGG